GAUGAACGCUGGCGGCGUGCCUAAUACAUGCAAGUCGAGCGAACAGACGAGGAGCUUGCUCCUCUGACGUUAGCGGCGGACGGGUGAGUAACACGUGGAUAACCUACCUAUAAGACUGGGAUAACUUCGGGAAACCGGAGCUAAUACCGGAUAAUAUAUUGAACUGCAUGGUUCAAUAGUGAAAGACGGUUUUGCUGUCACUUAUAGAUGGAUCCGCGCCGCAUUAGCUAGUUGGUAAGGUAACGGCUUACCAAGGCAACGAUGCGUAGCCGACCUGAGGGGGUGAUCGGCCACACUGGAACUGAGACACGGUCCAGACUCCUACGGGAGGCAGCAGUAGGGAAUCUUCCGCAAUGGGCGAAAGCCUGACGGAGCAACGCCGCGUGAGUGAUGAAGGUCUUCGGAUCGUAAAACUCUGUUAUUAGGGAAGAACAAAUGUGUAAGUAACUAUGCACGUCUUGACGGUACCUAAUCAGAAAGCCACGGCUAACUACGUG
rnacentral:rRNA from 1 species